rnacentral:rRNA from 1 species
GAGGAAUAUUGGUCAAUGGUCGCAAGACUGAACCAGCCAUGCCGCGUGCAGGAAGACGGUCCUACGGAUUGUAAACUGCUUUUAUACAGGAAGAAACCCUCCCACGUGUGGGAGCUUGACGGUACUGUAGGAAUAAGGAUCGGCUAACUCCGUGCCAGCAGCCGCGGUAAUACGGAGGAUCCAAGCGUUAUCCGGAAUCAUUGGGUUUAAAGGGUCCGUAGGCGGUCUUAUAAGUCAGUGGUGAAAGCCCAUCGCUCAACGAUGGAACUGCCAUUGAUACUGUAAGACUUGAAUGCUUAGGAAGUAACUAGAAUAUGUAGUGUAGCGGUGAAAUGCUUAGAUAUUACAUGGAAUACCAAUUGCGAAGGCAGGUUACUACUAAGUGAUUGACGCUGAUGGACGAAAGCGUGGGGAGCGAAC